rnacentral:rRNA from 1 species
AACGAACGCUGGCGGCAUGCCUAACACAUGCAAGUCGAACGAGACCUUCGGGUCUAGUGGCGCACGGGUGCGUAACGCGUGGGAACCUGCCCUUAGGUUCGGAAUAACUCCCCGAAAGGGGUGCUAAUACCGGAUAAUGUCUUCGGACCAAAGAUUUAUCGCCUUUGGAUGGGCCCGCGUUGGAUUAGCUAGUUGGUAGGGUAAAAGCCUACCAAGGCGACGAUCCAUAGCUGGUCUGAGAGGAUGAUCAGCCACACUGGGACUGAGACACGGCCCAGACUCUGACGGGAGGCAGCAGUGGGGAAUAUUGGACAGGGGGCGAAAGCCUGAGCCAGCAAUGCCGCGUGAGUGAUGAAGGCGUUAGGGUUGCAAAGCUCUUUUACCCGGGAUGAUAAGGACAGUACCGGGAGAAGAAGCUCGGGCUAACUCCGU